rnacentral:rRNA from 1 species
AUUGAACGCUGGCGGCAGGCCUAACACAUGCAAGUCGAACGAGUGGCGGACGGGUGAGUAAUGUCUGGGAAACUGCCCGCUGGAGGGGGAUAACUACUGGAAACGGUAGCUAAUACCGCAUACCAUCGGAUGUGCCCAGAUGGGAUUAGCGAGGCGGUGGGGUAACGGCUCACCUAGGCGACGAUCCCUAGCGGGUCGGAGAGGAGGACCAGACACACUGGAACUGAGACACGGUCUAGACUCCUACGGGAGGCAGCAGUGGGGAAUAUUGCACAAUGGGCGAAAGCCUGAUGCAGCCAGGCCGCGUGUAUGAAGAAGGCCUUCGGGUUGUAAAGUACUUUCAGCGAGGAGGCGUUACUCGCAGAAUAAGCACCGGCUAACUCCGUGCCAGCCGACGCGGUAAUUC